AUGACUGUGGCACUUUUGGGGGGGCUGUCCAUGGUAACCAGAGGGUUGGGCUUUCUUGUGGUUACUUGGACCACCGUCGUCCUUCUUGGUGGCUUCGUCUCGUUGCUCCAGAAGAAGGAUUUUUGGUCUCUCACAGUGAUUACAUUCAUAGAGCUAGCUGGGGUGGUCGAUAACUUUGGGGGUGACAAAUGGAACUCAUUUGCAGCAACACCAGCAGGAAUGGAUGCGUUGGGUGUGGUAUUUAUGCGGAGACGGUUGGCUAGUACGUGCUUUGUUAGUACGACGGCAUCAGGAAAUAUCGUAAGAGUUGUAGUGUUUGUUAAAGUUCUUCUAGGAUGGAUUGCACAUUUUAUCCAAGGAGGGACAUACAUGGUUGCGCUUAUCGGUGGUCAUUUUGGUAUCUUCCGAUGGGGGGUGUACAUCGCCACCGGGGUCUCCCUGUGGCGUUUAAAACAGCAUGACUACGGGAACACAGAUGGAGAUUCUAGCAAAGCAAACAUGAAGCCAUCACUUGAUGUCUUGUACAUCAUUGUUGUCGUCCAAGGUGCAAUCUCGGUCUACAGAAGAAUGCUCAAUGUUCCACUGGAAAAUGUAGUGACCAUGGUGGCCGAAGCAUAUGGCUUCAAAGGUCCAAGUGUAGCAUUAGUUCGGGAUUACAUGAUAGAAACCCGGAGGGGAUGCGGGAAGAACCCGUCCUUUGCGAAAGGAAGGAACCUGGUGACAUAUGCUGUGGUCCUGAUGGCGCAUGACAAGUCGCCUCAAGACUACCUCUCCGGGUUGAAGAUCCUGAGCACAAUCCUCGGGCCAUUUGACCAGAUGAACUCAAAGAAGUUUAAGAAGCAGCGCAUGCUAAUAAGACAGCUUAUCUUGUACGCCCUGUCCAGCCACAUCUUCCGCCGUCUGUUGGUCCUGUCAAAUCCGAGAAGCUUCCCAUAUGGCACAGAAAAGAGUGCACAAAGAGAGAUGACGAAGCACGCUGCGAGUAUAGUGAUGCACAUAGCAGACGGGGCCAGUGUGGAGCUGAUUCCCCAAGUGAUCCAGUGCAUGUCAUCACUGAUGGGCACAUUCCAAGAACAUCAGCGAUUGUUUUCCUCAAACAGUACCCGUCAUGACAGGGAUUAUGCCAAGGAGGAGGAGGACUACCUGGAGCGGUUGUGGGAAUGUCUGCACGUUCUUUACGUUCUCGCAGCCGACGAGAACAAUUGUAGACUCAUCAUCCACACUCGAGGUCUGCUCACCAAGAUCAUGACACCUCUAGCCUCCAACCUUUACCACCAAACUGAUCAUGAUACUUGGGAAAACUUACUAAAGGAAUCACUGAAAGUGAUACACCGGCUCACAACUACUUAUGGUCAUGGAGAAGGGGAAACAGGGGCCAAGCUGGUUCACGAAAUCGAAGCCAACCUGGAAGUGGAAACAGUCGACACCAUGAUGAGGAUUCUCAGGUGUGAUAUAUGUUCUCGACAGAUGGGAAAAUUGGCCAUGGGGAUUCUCACCAAUCUACACGCGCAGAUGCAGACCUUAGACAAAGAAUAUUUAACCGAGAUGCUGGUGCACAUCUACAACACUGCCGCCAACUCCAGAACAUCAGCACUUCAAGCUCUGGCGACACUAUGUUUCCAGGACGGAAGUAAUGCCACGAUUAUCUUACAAGUAAAUGAUUCUACAGUUUCCUCUUUCACAGAGGAUCUCAAAGCUUUAAGUGAUGGAUACCAUAGUGUAGCAGAAAUUCUACAGCAUGCAUGUCACCAUUACACUAGGGAUGAUAAAUUCCUCAGGAUACUCAAGGAAUCCAUGACCGACAUGAUGCCAAAGCUGCUUAGCAAAAUACUUACAGUAGAAGCAACACAAACAGGUCAACAAGGUGACGCUUCGCAACCUAAUGGACAGAGCAGGAGGUCUUCUUCUCUUCAGGAACAUGACGUCCAUAAAACAGAGACAGCUCUAUUAUCCCUUUGUGUGACAAAUACAUGA
rnacentral:rRNA from 1 species